UACGUAGGGUGCAAGCGUUACUCGGAAUUACUGGGCGUAAAGCGUGCGUAGGUGGUUUGUUAAGUCUGAUGUGAAAGCCCUGGGCUCAACCUGGGAAUUGCAUUGGAUACUGGCAAGCUAGAGUGCGGUAGAGGGUAGUGGAAUUCCCGGUGUAGCGGUGAAAUGCGUAGAGAUCGGGAGGAACACCAGUGGCGAAGGCGGCUACCUGGACCAGCACUGACACUGAGGCACGAAAGCGUGGGGAGCAAACAGG
rnacentral:rRNA from 1 species